AACUGGUCAAGAGCUGAUGUUGCUCUCCUAAUGAGGUCAUGACAGGCCGAAACCAGUU
rnacentral:hammerhead_ribozyme from 1 species